rnacentral:lncRNA from 1 species
CGAAAAUGAUUGUUAGUAGCCAAUACGAAAGGCUUUCUGGGAUUCCUCUUAUGUCCUUGGUUUUUUAUCUUUUCGGCAAUAAACUUUCAAAGGGUAUAUGACGACGAAAAGAUGAAUAAAUAAGACAAUAGGAGGGACAAAAGAUACCAGAGUCAAACUCAUAAAUAGAAAUAAACUGACAAUGAAAAAGACAAGCAGACAAAUAACAGUACACAAGACACAACAUAGAAAAUUAACGAUUGAGUAACACGAAC